rnacentral:rRNA from 1 species
CAAUAGCGUAUAUUAAAGCUGUUGCGGUUAAAAAGCUCGUAGUUGGAUUUCUGUCAAGUACAACUGGUCCGCCCUCCGGGUGAGCACAUAGUUUGGUCUUGGCAUCUUGCUGGAAAUUGUUGCUGCACUUGGCUGUGUGGCGCAGUGUCCAGCACUUUCACUUUGAGGAAAUUGGAGUGUUUCAAGCAGGCAAUGCCUUUGAACACAGUAGCAUGGAAUAAUUAGAUUGGGCUUUUGCUCCAAUUUGCCGGUUUCUGGAGCUGAGGUGAGAAUUAAUGGGAAUUGUUGGGGGCAUCCGAAUCUAGCCGUCAGAGGUGAAAUUCUUGGAUCGGCUAAAGACGGACAACUGCGAAAGCGUUUGCCCAGGAUGUUUUCAUUGA